UACGAAGGACCCAAGCGUUAUCCGGAUUUAUUGGGUUAAAGGGUGCGUAGGCGGGUUAUUAAGUCAGUGGUGAAAGCCUGCAGCUUAACUGCAGAACUGCCAUUGAUACUGAUGAUCUUGAGUAUGAUUGAGGUGGGCGGAAUGUGUCAUGUAGCGGUGAAAUGCUUAGAUAUGACACAGAACACCGAUUGCGAAGGCAGCUCACUAAGCCAUAACUGACGCUGAUGCACGAAAAGCGUGGGGAGCAAACAGG
rnacentral:rRNA from 1 species